rnacentral:lncRNA from 1 species
AGGAGACUGGAAAUUAGCAGUGGGCAAACUGGACCCAGGAAAGGGAAUGAAGGCUGAAGAUUUUGGGAAGCUGUGCGUGACACUGGUGAAGCAGGGCUGGAUAACACGUGAUAAUUGCUUCUGGAUGAUAAAUGGAGGGCUCACUGAUGGCUGGCCAGCCCUAGCAGUACAUUCCUGAGAUGGCAGGUGUUCUGAAGACUUCACAUCUCCCCCCAGCCCA